rnacentral:rRNA from 1 species
AUUGAACGCUGGCGGCAUGCCUUACACAUGCAAGUCGAACGACAGCGGGGGAGAAGCUUGCUUUUCCUGCCGGCGAGUGGCGAACGGGUGAGUAAUACAUCGGAACGUGCCCUGUAGUGGGGGAUAACUAGUCGAAAGAUUAGCUAAUACCGCAUACGACCUGAGGGUGAAAGGGGGGGACCGCAAGGCCUCAUGCUAUAGCAGCGGCCGAUGUCUGAUUAGCCAGGUGGUGGGGUAAAGGCAUACCAAGGGGACGAUCAGGAGCUGGUCUGAGAGGACGAUCAGCCACACUGGGACUGAGACACGGCCCAGACUCAUACGGGAGGCAGCAGUGAGGAAUUUUGGACAAUGGGCGAAAGCCUGAUCCAGCAAUGCCGCGUGUGUGAAGAAGGCCUUCGGGUUGUAAAGCACUUUUGUCCGGAAAGAAAUGGCUCUGGUUAAUACCUGGGGUCGAUGACGGUACCGGAUGAAUAAGGACCGGCUAACUACGUGCCAGCAGCCGCCGUAA